rnacentral:rRNA from 1 species
GUGGGGAAUAUUUCGCAAUGGGCGCAAGCCUGACGAAGCAACGCCGCGUGGAGGAUGAAGGCCCUAGCGGUCGUAAACUCCUGUCUAGUGGGACGAAAGGUUUGCGGGGAAAUACUCCGCGAAUUUGACGGUACCGCUGGAGGAAGCUCCGGCCAACUCCGUGCCAGCAGCCGCGGUAAUACGGGGGGAGCAAGCGUUACUCGGAAUUACUGGGCGUAAAGGGCGCGUAGGCGGUCCUGUAAGUCCUGUGUGAAAGCCCCGGGCCUAACCCGGGAAGUGCACGGGAUACUGUGGGGCUCGAGUGCAGGAGAGGAAGGCGGAAUUCCCGGUGUAGCGGUGAAAUGCGCAGAUAUCGGGAGGAACACCAGCGGCGAAGGCGGCCUUCUGGACUGCAACUGACGCUGAGGCGCGAAAGCCAGGGGAGCAAACGGGAUUAGAAACCCGAGUAGUCC